rnacentral:rRNA from 1 species
CAGUCGCCGCGGGAAUACGAAGGGUGCAAGCGUUAAUCGGAAUUACUGGGCGUAAAGCGUGCGUAGGCGGUUUGUUAAGUCUGUUGUGAAAUCCCCGGGCUCAACCUGGGAAUGGCAAUGGAUACUGGCAAGCUAGAGUGUGUCAGAGGAUGGUGGAAUUCCCGGUGUAGCGGUGAAAUGCGUAGAGAUCGGGAGGAACAUCAGUGGCGAAGGCGGCCAUCUGGGACAACACUGACGCUGAGGCACGAAAGCGUGGGGAGCAAACAGGAUUAGAUACCCGAGUAGUCCCUGUCUCUUAUAC